UACGUAGGUGGCGAGCGUUGUCCGGAUUUACUGGGCGUAAAGGGAGCGUAGGCGGACUUUUAAGUGAGAUGUGAAAUACCCGGGCUCAACUUGGGUGCUGCAUUUCAAACUGGAAGUCUAGAGUGCAGGAGAGGAGAAUGGAAUUCUUAGUGUAGCGGUGAAAUGCGUAGAGAUUAGGAAGAACACCAGUGGCGAAGGCGAUUCUCUGGACUGUAACUGACGCUGAGGCUCGAAAGCGUGGGGAGCAAACAGGAUUAGAUACCCCCGUA
rnacentral:rRNA from 1 species